GGCCGCCGUCGGAAGGCGCGCGAUGGGCACGCCGUCGACGCGCUCCAUAAACAGCCUUUCGCUCGUCGACAGUGCAGCGACGGUGCGCGGCACAAAGACGGUUCCAGAAGGGUCGCCGGCAAAGAGCGCGCGCAUGCGCUCUGCGUUGGAGGCCUCGGCCGCCAGGUCGACAUGGCGCGAGAGACCAUCGUCGGCAAUUGCCACGAGGUGGUCGAUGGCGUCGGCCGCGAGAGCACGUCUACACGCGCGGGCGACCAGAGCGCGGCCCAGACGGGUGUGCAGGAACCAGACGAGGAUGACGCGAUCGACGGCGGCGCGCCUGAGCACGGUCGGCCGUCGUACCUUGACCACGAGUGACGGUCGGCCUCGCCCGGCGCUGCGACGACGUGCAAACACGCCUGCCCCGUCGUCGUCAUCGCCGUCAUAAGGUCCGCCAGUGUCGCUGACAUGCCCCUCCCAAGCCUCGUUGCCGGUUCCGCAUGCAUAGACCUGGGCCACCGAGCCGCUGGCCAAGAGAACGGCGCCGUCGGGCAGAUCAUCAAUGGGUUCGGCGGGCACGCGGUCCUGGAGCGGGCGCAGGGCCUCGAUAAAGGCGGCCAGAAAGAGAUCGGGGCGCGCAGUCGCCGCCUGAGCCAACUUGAUGGCCAGCGGCCCUAGGGCGGCCACGGCGUCAGACACGCCACAUAGGCCUACAGAUAGGGCAAACACAUAGACGGCCACCUUGCACGCCAUGUCGACGCUCCGCUGGGCGACAGCCCACGCGGUCACCGUCUCGGGUCGGGUCCACAUUGGCGUCUGCUACCGGUGUGCCUCGGCAGUGUCGUUGUUAUUGUUGUAGGGCGCCGACAGGCUCGCGCCUGCGCGGACGGUCGUCUGGUGCGGGCCGCCGCCUCUAGGGUGCGCCGCGCACGCGACGAAAAACAAGGCCGUGGCAGGCGACAAAAGAAAAAGUAAUAAAAGAAAAGUAAAAAU
rnacentral:lncRNA from 1 species